UGAAUUAAUAACUUAAUUGGCAAAGGACUACUCUGUCACAGUAGUAGAUGUCGGUUCGAGCCCGAUUUAAUUCGA
rnacentral:tRNA from 1 species